UACGGGGGGAGCAAGCGUUGUUCGGAUUUACUGGGCGUAAAGGGCGCGUAGGCGGCCAGCACAAGUCAGUUGUGAAAUCUCCGAGCUUAACUCGGAACGGUCAACUGAUACUGUGCGGCUAGAGUGCGGAAGGGGCAACUGGAAUUCUUGGUGUAGCGGUGAAAUGCGUAGAUAUCAAGAGGGAACACCUGCGGCGAAGGCGGGUUGCUGGGCCGACACUGA
rnacentral:rRNA from 1 species